AACGAGCGCAACCCUUCGCUCAUAGCUGCCAGCGGUUCGGCCGGGCGACUCUAUGGGGACGUGCCGGUGAUAAACCGGAAGGAAGGUGGGGAGUGACGUCAAGUCCUCAUGGCCUUUAUGUCCAGGGCUACACACGUCUACAAUGGACGGUACAAAGAGUUGCGAUCCCGCGAGGGGGAGCUAAUCUCAAAAAGCCGUUCUCAGUUCGGAUUGGGGUCUGCAACUCGACCCCAUGAAGUCGGAAUCGCUAGUAAUCGCGGAUCAGCACGCCGCAGUGAAUACGUUCCCGGGCCUU
rnacentral:rRNA from 1 species